rnacentral:rRNA from 1 species
AUGUGAUCGUCUCUCGCAUAUCAAUAAGCGGAGGAAAAGAAACUAACAAGGAUUCCCCUAGUAACGGCGAGUGAAGCGGGAAGAGCUCAAAUUUGAAAUCUUAAAGGGUUUCCCUUUACGAAUUGUAGUUUAAAGAAGUGUUUUCUGUUGAGGCUUUGGUAAAAGUUCUUUGGAAUAGGACAUCAUAGAGGGUGAGAAUCCCGUAUUUGACCUUUACUUUCAACUUUGUGAUACACUUUCAAAGAGUCGGAUUGUUUGGGAAUGCAGUCCAAAAUGGGUGGUAAAUUUCAUCUAAAGCUAAAUAUUGGCGAGAGACCGAUAGCGAACAAGUACCGUGAGGGAAAGAUGAAAAGAACUUUGAAAAGAGAGUUAAACAGUACGUGAAAUUGUCAAAAGGGAAGCGUUUGACACCAGUGUUGCUUUUCUGAAAAUCAAUUAAAGAACUGUUUAUGCUAAGUUGUUUAGACUUUAUCAGCUAUCUGUUUAGUUUUGAGCUUUUCUUUAAUGCACUUUUCAGUUAACAAGUCAACAUCAAUUUCUUUUGCUGUAAAAAAGCUUGAGGAAGGUGGCUUGAGAUUCGUCUUAAGUGUUUAUAGCCUCUUGCCUAUGCAGUCGGAGAGAUUGAGGUCUGCAGCGUAGAUCCUUCGGGGCUAAAUGCAUUUGUGCUAAGUUAUAGCAUUUUAUAGACAACUUGUUGACUAUGAUUUGUCUUGUAGCUUACUCGCUUAUGUUAUUUUACCUACGCUUAGGAUGUUGACUGAUAUGUAGUCGUA